UUCCUUAACUCUACGCAUUUUCACUAUAUCGUAAUAUCUGAACACCUUGUAAGAGCCUCUCGAUAUUAGGCUCUUAGGAUAGCGGAGGCUCAUCGGACGUGAAUUAGUAUUUCCCGCGGCACGGUGAGCUGGACGAGUCGGUUCGCAUUGGCGUAGGUUGUAGGUACUCUUUUGGAGGGAUCUUUAUGAGGGAAUAAUUGAAUCGUUUGUAUUUUGGGUAAGUGGCAAUCGAAUAAUCGGAUUUUAAUUAGUAUUCCUCCGCAAUUGGAGGCUACGUUAUGACGCUGACGCCAUUAUCGCGGACGUAAUCCCCGCUCCGGUGCACUACGCUAGUCGUAACGAACACAUGAACCUAUACACUGGAUGGCGAUGCCAUGACUCACGUAGUCUUCGUUCACUUUCCAUGCGCAACGAUCAAAUGUAACUAAUUUAAUAGAUAGAAUAUUGUUUCAUCAAU